GCCUUUUGACGCGUCAUGUAAUCUUCCUUCUAAUGGCGCAACUCCUCCCACUCAUUCAUAAUCCGACCUCCGCGUUUGCACUCGUCCUACAAGAGCUCCCAAAUUUGAACAUCACUGAUGUUCAUCGGAUUUACAGAGUGACGACAAACCCCGUCAGCAUGUUAGAUAAAGGAUUUAAGUUAUAUGCUGCAUCAUAUAUACACAACUACGAAGAUUAAGCUUCUGGAUUCAUCGCCAGUGCUCCUGUGUGGCAGGUGCUGUUAUGUGCAAUCACACAGUGGCACUGCUCUUCCAAACAGCACACUACUCACAACUCAGAGUGCCGGUUGUCCCCUGUGCAUAGCUGCACCGAAUCUGAACAGCAAUGGCACAAGCCACGGACAGUGGGUGUGAAGCCAGGACCUAUCAACUCUAUGAUCUUCACUAAGCCGGUACCAAAUAGGAUGGCCCAGACUGGAGUACGGUAAUUAGAUUUGUAAAAUUUGGUUUCCUGUGUUACAAAUGCAUGUUGCUAUUUGUUCAUACAUGCAUGUGUCAGAAUAGGUAUUAAUUUACAUACAACAUUACACUUUCUGAAGACGGCUAACUCAGUCAUGUACAUAUAUACAUCCCAGUCUCUAACUUAUGCACCACUGUUUCACACUUUUUAGUUUAGUUGUUGUUCAGUAUAAUAACCUU